rnacentral:lncRNA from 1 species
UCGAUCUCGAUCACCUCCAUCUCGUGAUGCCCACGAUCUCCCCUCUCUUCUUCCCACCCGGCCAGGCAGGGAAGCCGUUUAAUGAUCCGCCGCCGGCCGUGCUCGCGCGGGGUAGGGAGGCUGCCGCCGACCGUGCUCGCGCGGGAGGAGAGAGGCCGCCUCCAUCUGGCCGCCGCCGGCCGUUCUUGCGGGGGAGGAAGGAGGUUGUCUCCAUCUAGCCGCCGUCGGACGCGUCCACGCGGAGGAGCUAUCACCAUCGCCUCUCGUUUCCCCACGCCGCACAAGGUAGGCCAUGUCCACCUCGAGUCCAUCUCGGGAGAAGAUGCUCCCCUGCGUUGACCCCCUGCAGUCGUGAUUCAUCUGCUCCAUAAUAUCUGUAUACACAACAAAUAAUCUCUAUCUGCAGGCCGUAGUGAAUUGCAGUGCCUCAAGAACAAUUUACCCUAGCAAAGCACGAGUUGUGGCACAAACCAAACAAAGCAUAGAUUUCUUAUGGUUGCCAAUACGCGGUGCACAGUGUCGUAUGUGCGCCUUUUCAGUAUGGGCGUGCGUCAUCGCGCGUGUGUCUGCGGACGGCUCCGUCACGAGGGAUGGGUUUGUGCCAUGGCACAGGUCGUUGGUCCAUGGAGCGUGGAAUCCAGAGCCGUCAUCCUGUCGGCGUGGCCCCGUCAUCGCGGGGUUGCUCUUGGAUCUCGAGGGAACGAGGGCGACGUCGAGGACGACCGGCGGCGUGGUAGGAUGGAGGAGAAUGUUUUGACGUCAAGAAAAGAUUUGUGAAUCAAUAGAUGGGGCGGCGAAAAAAAAGAACUUACCUGACCGGCAUACGAGGGGUCCGUGGAUUAAAUGUUUUGACAAACCAGUUCACAAUUUCCUGAGAACACGGUACUGUCUGCAACACACCAGGUUAAGACUAGGGAGUGCACCACCGGACAGAACUUUGUGCGCUUCACGGAUGACUGCACUGGAGCAAUCGAUACGGAAGUUUGCUGAGGAACCGACAAAGAGUGUGAUUAAACCAGAAUUAGGAAAAAGUUUUGAUUCGUUGGACGAGGCAUAUGACUUCUACAGUCUGUAUUCAUGGAAGUUGGAUUCGGUAUUAGAUAUGGGAAAAGCCGACUGAAUGACAGAAAGAACCACAAGAGAUAGUGUGCGGUUGUUUGCUGAGUUCUGUGGUACGGGAUACUAUGUGUGGGUUUCUUUUUUGUGCAGUUUUGGUUUGAAAAAAUGGCAUCAUGGACUGAGCUGAUGUGCCAUCACUUUUUUUUCAGGGGAAGCCUGAGGAAGAGAAUAGCCAAUCAUGCAGGUGCAAGUGUCAAAAAUUUUGAAUGAGUUUUUGUUGAGUUCCUGAGAAUGUUGGGAGGAUCACCGCCUACGACAACUUUGACAGGUAUUUGUUGAGUUUCUGUAUUUUCAUCGGUGUCGAUAUUUGUGCAGUUUCUGUAUUUUCAUGUGUGCAGCAAUGCUACAUGCUGUAUCGUUAUUUUUUUUUUGUGAAAACCGUUUUACCUGAAGAAUAUUUCAAUUAAUUAGCUGAACUAGGGUAAAUUGUUCUUAAAGCAGUACCUGCAUAUCUUGUGGUAAAUUUACCCUAGCAAUUCAUCGUGCCGAUCUGGAUCAUGGUCAUUAGUGUUUGCUCCAUAGCAAAGCCCGAGUUGUGGCGCAAGCCAAACAAUGCAUAGAUUUCUUGGCCGUUUUACAGAGAUGGUCUAGCUGAAAGCACAUUUCUCCUAACUCAUUAGGCUAGGGGAGUGCAACAAUUUUUUCUCUCCUAUUGCAACGCACGAGCAUAUUUACUAUAAUAAUAAAGCAAACAAUGUUUCCAUCCGUUCCCGUUGAGGUGUUUUCUUAAAGAAGCCCUUGUAGUUUCUGUUAUUCAACCCGCGGUCCUUUUAUAAGUGGUUAAUAUGGAAAACGAUUCGUUCUUGUAAACAACACCUUGCAUUUUCGAGUAUUCAAUCUGCAAUCCUUUUUACAUGGCCAAACUGAGAUAACAUCUCGUUUGUAGGGGGCGGCCAUGGCGGGCAUGCGGCACUGCGCUCGGGGGCCGCAUCUGGCGAAGGCGGCGAGGCUGGAGGCGGGAGCGGAGACGAAGGAG